rnacentral:rRNA from 1 species
UACAGAGGGUGCGAGCGUUAAUCGGAAUUACUGGGCGUAAAGCGUGCGUAGACGGUAGCGUAAGUCAGAUGUGAAAAGCCCCGGGCUCAACCUGGGAAUUGCAUUUGAGACUGCUCUGCUCGGGUGCGGAAGAGGGAAGCGGAAUUUCCGGUGUAGCGGUGAAAUGCGUAGAUAUCGGAAGGAACACCAGUGGCGAAAAGCGGCUUCCUGGUCCGACACCGACGUUCAGGCACGAAAAGCGUGGGGAGCAAAACAGG